rnacentral:rRNA from 2 species
UGGGGGAUAUUGCGCAAUGGGGGAAACCCUGACGCAGCAACGCCGCGUGAGCGAUGAAGGUCUUCGGAUCGUAAAGCUCUGUCUUUAGGGACGAAAGAAAUGACGGUACCUAAGGAGGAAGCCACGGCUAACUACGUGCCAGCAGCCGCGGUAAUACGUAGGUGGCGAGCGUUGUCCGGAAUUACUGGGCGUAAAGGGUGCGCAGGCGGUUAUUUAAGUCAGAUGUGAAAUUCCGGGGCUUAACUUCGGAACUGCAUUUGAAACUGGAUGGCUAGAGUGCAGGAGAGGAAAGCGGAAUUCCUAGUGUAGCGGUGAAAUGCGUAGAUAUUAGGAAGAACACCAGUGGCGAAGGCGGCUUUCUGGACUGUAACUGACGCUGAGGCACGAAAGCGUGGGGAGCAAACAGG